rnacentral:misc_RNA from 1 species
AAGUCGUAACAAGGUUUCCGUAGGUGAACCUGCAAGGAUCAUUAACGCCGUAAACGUUAAACCCUGUGAACUUUCAAACGCUCUUCUCGCCACAGCAAUCCCGCUAAAUCAAUGGCGGAAAGUUUUGAUUCGGAUAUCAAGUUGCAUUUCCUUAAGCAGUGCAGAAGGAUCCACUGAGUAAGGAUAACACGGUUGCCAGAGGUCGAUCACCGGCGGCAGACAUGUCACAGGGCUAUAUGCCCCUUCAUUCACCCCUUGCCUAAUCAAGCCCCGCGGACACGCCGGGCACAAACAAGGAUACCUUGGUUCUCCGAUGAAGAACGCAGC